UGACGUGUUCGAAGUGAAUUUAUGUCGUUUGUGGAUAAAAUGGAUGAGUAACGAAGAAAUGAGAAGUGCUGCUCUUAAAUUUUAUGAAAAGUAUAAAAUUCCGAGUGUUAUGGGGUGUAUUGAUGGUACCCAUAUAAAAAUUGUGGGACCAAAACACAAUAAGCACUCAUUUUAUAAUCGAAAAGGAUACUUUAGUUUAAAUGCUCUUGUUGUUUGUGACCAAAAAAUGAGGUUUCGAUUUAUUGAUGCGUCGCAUCCAGGAGCUUGUCACGACUCUUUAGUGUGGAACGUUUCGGAACUAAAGAGACAUAUUUGCAAUAAUCGCAGCAACUUUUGGAUGUUAGGCGACGCAGGAUAUCCUCUGGAAUCCUUCUUAUUAACACCUUAUAGGACACCUGAAGAGGGAAGUGUAGAAGCAAAAUUUAAUUUAGCUCAUUCUCGGUGCCGAAAUAUUAUAGAACGUGCAAUUGGGUUGCUUAAAAGCCGAUGGAGAUGUUUGCUUGGUGCUAGAGAACUUUAUUACAGCCCACAGAAAGCAGCUAAAAUAUUCAAUGUGUGCGUAAUGUUACAUAAUUUAUGCAUUCAUUUCAAAGAUCAAUUUGCUGAUAUCGUUGAGAUACCUGAUUGUGACGAAGAGGAAUCUCUAGUGACUAUGGAGGAGGACAACAUAGAUUUCGGAAUGCAAAGAAUGAGCGAAGCGCAAAGAAUUAGGAACCAAAUAGCUCACUCACUCCCUUAAAGCAUUAUUACUUCUUUCAAUAUCGUUUGUAGAAAAAACAAAACUAACUCCAUUUUUCUGUAACGAAAAAACUAUUUCUUCAUUUCUUAUAAUCCUAAUUCAAUGAACAUAAAAUGUAUUUCAAAUAAAAUAUAAGUAAAAUAAAAAAAAAAUUAACA